AGGGCGCACGGUGGAUGCCUUGGCACUAGAAGCCGAAGAAGGACGUGACUAACGACGAAAUGCUUUGGGGAGCUGUAAGUAAGCGCUGAUCCAGAGAUGUCCGAAUGGGGGAACCCACUAGUUAAUGACUAGUAUCCAUAUCUGUUAAGGAUAUGAGAAGGAAGACGCAGUGAACUGAAACAUCUAAGUAGCUGCAGGAAGAGAAAGCAAAAGCGAUUGCCUUAGUAGCGGCGAGCGAAACGGCAGGAGGGCAAACCGAAGUGUUUACACUUCGGGGUUGUAGGACUGCGAUAUAGGAUUAAUCAUUAUAGAAGAAUUACCUGGGAAGGUAAGCCAAAGAGAGUAACAGCCUCGUAUUUAAAAUGAUAGAUUAACCUUAGCAGUAUCCUGAGUACGGCGAGACACGCGAAAUCUCGUCGGAAUCUGGGAGGACCAUCUCCCAACCCUAAAUACUCUCUAGUGACCGAUAGUGAACCAGUACCGUGAGGGAAAGGUGAAAAGCACCCCGGGAGGGGAGUGAAAUAGAACCUGAAACCGUGUGCCUACAACAAGUUCGAGCCCGUUAAUGGGUGAGAGCGUGCCUUUUGUAGAAUGAACCGGCGAGUUACGAUAUGAUGCGAGGUUAAGUUGAAGAGACGGAGCCGUAGGGAAACCGAGUCUUAAUAGGGCGCCAUAGUAUCAUGUUGUAGACCCGAAACCAUGUGACCUACCCAUGAGCAGGUUGAAGGUGAGGUAAAACUCACUGGAGGACCGAACCAGGGCACGUUGAAAAGUGCUUGGAUGACUUGUGGGUAGCGGAGAAAUUCCAAACGAACUUGGAGAUAGCUGGUUCUCUCCGAAAUAGCUUUAGGGCUAGCGUCGAUGUUAAGUCUCUUGGAGGUAGAGCACUGUUUGGGUGAGGGGUCCAUCCCGGAUUACCAAUCUCAGAUAAACUCCGAAUGCCAACGAGAUAUAAUCGGCAGUCAGACUGCGAGUGCUAAGAUCCGUAGUCGAAAGGGAAACAGCCCAGACCACCAGCUAAGGUCCCAAAAUAUAUGUUAAGUGGAAAAGGAUGUGGGGUUGCACAGACAACUAGGAUGUUAGCUUAGAAGCAGCUAUUCAUUCAAAGAGUGCGUAAUAGCUCACUAGUCGAGUGACCCUGCGCCGAAAAUGUACCGGGGCUAAAACAUAUUACCGAAGCUGUGGAUGACACAAAAGUGUCAUGGUAGGAGAGCGUUCUAUGUGUGAAGAAGGUGUACCGUGAGGAGCGCUGGAACGCAUAGAAGUGAGAAUGCCGGUAUGAGUAGCGCAAGACAGGUGAGAAUCCUGUCCACCGUAAGACUAAGGUUUCCAGGGGAAGGCUCGUCCGCCCUGGGUUAGUCGGGACCUAAGGAGAGACCGAAAGGUGUAUCCGAUGGACAACAGGUUGAUAUUCCUGUACUAGAGUAUAUAGUGAUGGAGGGACGCAGUAGGCUAACUAAACCAGACGAUUGGAAGUGUCUGGUCAAACAGUGAGGUGUGAUAUGAGUCAAAUGCUUAUAUCUUUAACAUUGAGCUGUGACGAGGAGCGAAGUUUAGUAGCGAAGUUAGUGAUGUCACACUGCCAAGAAAAGCUUCUAGCGAUACAUAUACUCUACCCGUACCGCAAACCGACACAGGUAGUCGAGGCGAGUAGCCUCAGGUGAGCGAGAGAACUCUCGUUAAGGAACUCGGCAAAAUGGCCCCGUAACUUCGGGAGAAGGGGCGCUGAUUUUAGAUCAGCCGCAGUGAAUAGGCCCAAGCAACUGUUUAUCAAAAACACAGCUCUCUGCUAAAUCGUAAGAUGAUGUAUAGGGGGUGACGCCUGCCCGGUGCUGGAAGGUUAAGAGGAGUGCUUAGCGUAAGCGAAGGUAUGAAUUGAAGCCCCAGUAAACGGCGGCCGUAACUAUAACGGUCCUAAGGUAGCGAAAUUCCUUGUCGGGUAAGUUCCGACCCGCACGAAAGGCGUAAUGAUUUGGGCACUGUCUCAACGAGAGACUCGGUGAAAUUUUAGUACCUGUGAAGAUGCAGGUUACCCGCGACAGGACGGAAAGACCCCAUGGAGCUUUACUGCAGUUUGAUAUUGAGUAUCUGUACCACAUGUACAGGAUAGGUAGGAGCCUAUGAUAACGGGACGCCAGUUUCGUUUGAGGCGUUGUUGGGAUACUACCCUUGUGUUAUGGCUACUCUAACCCAGAUAGGCAAUCCCUAUCGGAGACAGUGUCUGACGGGCAGUUUGACUGGGGCGGUCGCCUCCUAAAAGG
rnacentral:rRNA from 1 species